UGUAAAAAUGAAUGGCCACUUCCAGGUAUGGCUGAGAAGGGUGAAAAUGCAUGCACCCACAGACACACACACACACCGUGGAAAUGAGGAAAAGUUACUUCUCUCUGUUGUAAAUUUAAAUGCAGUCCAGAGUAGUGAAGGCCGUUUGUAAGGUCUGCUGAGCUAAUGGAUUCAUAAUGACUUUUAAAGCUUCACUCGGUACAUCCUAUGUGCCAGACACUGCGAUAGGUUCUGGAGAUAACAACAGUGUCCAAGAAACAACAGUGUCCAAGAAACAGGACUUUCCCUCAAAGAGCUUACUGGGGAAGCCAGCAAGACCAGCAGACAAACACAGCUGCACUGGGGGAGAGCCUGCUGAAGCUGCUUGAAUCUCAACACUGUCAUACCCGCCAUCUCAUUAUCUACAGCCACAUCUAAAACCCACAUGAAAUACCAAGUCACACGCGGCUCUGGGAAAGACAUUUUACAGAGACCAUCUUAUGAGUUUUUAAUCUGCCUCCUGAGAACUUACAAUCUAAGAAAUAGAAAACUGAUUCCAGUAAGCAUGCCCAGAAUAUGCUAGCAGCAAGAUUAAAACAUGAAACUAUGAAUGUUAAGAUAUUCAUAUGUAUUCUUGGGCAAGAUUUCUUUCCCUGGGCUAGAUGUCCCAAGGACCACACUCCUCUGUCCCUUUCAAAGAAAAGACAGACCUCACUGGGAAGUCCUGGAUUGUGUCCACUGCUGCUGUCACCGGAGUCUGACCCCAGCCCUGCCCAUCUCCAGGGAUCGCAGAACCUGCCAGCCAACUUCCUUUGAGUCAGCCGGUCAGGGCUGCAUCUUAGAAGCCAAGCUGCUUUGGUGUGAUUUCUGAAGUCUGUGCAUUUGCCUUAACUGUCAGGCCACUGGCUUCCCUGAGACUGGCUUCUGCCGUUUGCUCCCUGACAGUGAUAGUGAUAGCAGGACAGACUAACAGUCGGAGCACCCUGUGCAUCUCUUUCCAAGGAAUCCAUCCAUGGCAGGGACUGUGGAGCGCUCUCAAAGACAGCCACUUUGCAGGCAUUUAGUAGGACAUGGGCUCACCUCUUGCCUCCUCUUCUGCCUUUCCUUCCAGCUCCUUGCCCUUUACAAUAGCUGAAGAUUUUUUUAAGUGGAGCUGCUGAUAAUUAAAAUUAUAUCUUUUUUCCACCAAUGUCUGAAACUCUGGGAAGUCAUUAUCAGAGUCAGACAGUGAUAUUUUGAUAUCCCAGGAUCUUUUUGAUAUAAGGAAUAAAGUUCUAAGGCAUGAGAAG
rnacentral:lncRNA from 1 species